rnacentral:lncRNA from 1 species
AUGUAUAUAUCGCCAUGCAUAUAUUGCCAUGUAUAUAUCGCCAUGCAUAUAUUGCCAUGCAUAUAUUGCCAUGUAUAUAACGCCAUUUAUAUAUCGCCAUGCAUAUAUUGCCAUGCAUGUAUUGCUCUGUAUAUAUUGCCAUGCAUAUAUUGCCAUGCAUGUAUUGCUCUGUAUAUAUCGCCAUGUAUAUAUUGCUCUGUAUAUAUUGCCAUGUAUGUAACGCCAUGUAUAUAUCGCCAUGUAUAUAUUGCUCUGUAUAUAUUGCCAUGUAUAUAUUGCCUUGCAUAUAUCGCCAUGUAUAUAUUGCUAUGUAUAUAUCGCCAUGUAUAUAUUGCUCUGUAUAUAUUGCCAUGUAUAUAUUGCCUUGCAUAUAUCGCCAUGUAUAUAUUGCUAUGUAUAUAUUGCCAUUUAUAUAUCGCCAUGCAUAUAUCGCCAUGUAUAUAUCGGCAUGUAUAUAUCGCCAUGUAUAUAUUGCUCUGUAUAUAUUGCCAUGUAUAUAUCGCCAUGCAUAUAUUGCCAUGUAUAUAUUGCCAUGCAUAUAUUGCCAUGUAUAUAUCGCCAUGUAUAUAUUGCCAUGUAUAUAUCGCCAUGUAUAUAUUGCUCUGUAAAUAUCGCCAUGUAUAUAACACCAUGUAUAUAACGCCAUGUAUAUAUUGCCAUGUAUAUAUUGCCAUGUAUAUAUCGCCAUGCAUAUAUUGCCAUGUAUAUAUCGCCAUGCAUAUAUUGCCAUUUAUAUAUCGCCAUGCAUAUAUUGCCAUGUAUAUAUCGCCAUGUAUAUAUUGCCAUGUAUAUAUCGCCAUGUAUAUAUUGCUCUGUAUAUAUGGCCAUGUAUAUAUCGCCAUGUAUAUAACGCCAUGUAUAGAACGCCAUGUAUAUAUCGCCAUGUAUAUAUUGCUCUGUAUAUAUUGCUCUCUAUGUAACGCCAUGUAUAUAUCGCCAUGUAUAUAUUGCUCUGUAUAUAUUGCCAUGUAUAUAUUGCUCUGUAUAUAUCGCCAUGUAUAUAUCGCCAUGUAUAUAUUGCCAUUUAUAUAUUGCUCUGUAUAUAUUGCCAUGUAUAUAUCGCCAUGUAUAUAUUGCCAUGUAUAUAUCGCCAUGUAUAUAUUGCUCUGUAUAUAUUGCCAUGUAUAUAUUGCCUUGCAUAUAUCGCCAUGUAUAUAUUGCUAUGUAUAUAUUGCCAUUUAUAUAUCGCCAUGCAUAUAUCUCCAUGUAUAUAUCGGCAUGUAUAUAUCGCCAUGUAUAUAUUGCUCUGUAUAUAUUGCCAUGUAUAUAUCGCCAUGUAUAUAUGGCCAUGUAUAUAUUGCCAUUUAUAUAUUGCUCUGUAUAUAUUGCUAUGUAUAUAUUGCCAUGCAUAUAUUGCCAUGUAUAUAUCGCCAUGUAUAUAUUGCCAUGUAUAUAUCGCCAUGUAUAUAUUGCUCUGUAUAUAUCGCCAUGUAUAUAACACCAUGUAUAUAA